rnacentral:rRNA from 1 species
UACGUAGGGAGCGAGCGUUAUCCGGAAUUAUUGGGUGUAAAGGGUGCGUAGACGGGAAUGCAAGUUAGUUGUGAAAUCCCUCGGCUUAACUGAGGAACUGCAACUAAAACUACAUUUCUUGAGUGCAGGAGAGGUAAGUGGAAUUCCUAGUGUAGCGGUGAAAUGCGUAGAUAUUAGGAGGAACACCAGUGGCGAAGGCGACUUACUGGACUGUAACUGACGUUGAGGCACGAAAGUGUGGGGAGCAAACAGG